GGGUGGAGUGGAGUGGAGUGGAGUGGAGUGGAGUGGAGUGGAGUGGAGUGCAGUGGAGUGGAGUGUGUGAGCAGGCAGGAGGGCUUGGGUGGACUCUAAGGCACUUUCCUCUACAUGCAAUGGCAGGUCAGCCCCCCGGCACUCUCCAGAGCAGAUGACCUGACACACCCCGGCUCCUU
rnacentral:miRNA from 1 species